UGAUGGAAAUCACGAUACCUUCCGAGUGG
rnacentral:piRNA from 1 species